rnacentral:rRNA from 1 species
GACGAACGCUGGCGGCGUGCUUAACACAUGCAAGUCGAACGGAAAGGCCCUGCUUGCAGGGUACUCGAGUGGCGAACGGGUGAGUAACACGUGGGUGAUCUGCCCUGCACUUCGGGAUAAGCCUGGGAAACUGGGUCUAAUACCGGAUAGGAGCCAUUUUUAGUGUGAUGGUUGGAAAGUUUUUUCGGUGUAGGAUGAGCUCGCGGCCUAUCAGCUUGUUGGUGGGGUAAUGGCCUACCAAGGCGGCGACGGGUAGCCGGCCUGAGAGGGUGGACGGCCACAUUGGGACUGAGAUACGGCCCAGACUCCUACGGGAGCCAGCAGUGGGGAAUAUUGCACAAUGGGCGCAAGCCUGAUGCAGCGACGCCGCGUGGGGGAUGACGGCCUUCGGGUUGUAAACUCCUUUCGCUAGGGACGAAGCUUUUUGUGACGGUACCUAGAUAAGAAGCACCGGCUAACUACGUG